rnacentral:rRNA from 1 species
UACGUAGGGUGCAAGCGUUGUCCGGAAUUAUUGGGCGUAAAGAGCUCGUAGGCGGUCUGUCGCGUCGGCUGUGAAAACUCGGGGCUCAACUCCGAGCUUGCAGUCGAUACGGGCAGGCUAGAGUUCGGCAGGGGAGACUGGAAUUCCUGGUGUAGCGGUGAAAUGCGCAGAUAUCAGGAGGAACACCGGUGGCGAAGGCGGGUCGCGGGGCCGAUACUGACGCUGAGGAGCGAAAGCGUGGGGAGCGAACAGG